GACGAACGCUGGCGGCGUGCUUAACACAUGCAAGUCGAACGGAAAGGCCCUGCGUUUGUGGGGUUCUCGAUUGGCGAACGGGUGAGUAACACGUGAGUAACCUGCCCUUGACUUUGGGAUAACUUCAGGAGACUGGGGCUCAUACCGGAUAGGAUCUCCUGCUGCAUGGUGGGGGUUGGAAAGUUUCGGCGGUUGUGGAUGUACUCGCGGCUUAUCAGCUUGUUUGUGGGGUAGUGGCUUACCAAGGCUUUGACGGGUAGCCGGCCUGAGAGGGUGACCGGCCACAAUGGGACUGAGAUACGGCCCAGACUCCUACGGGAGGCAGCAGUGGGGAAUAUUGCACAAUGGGCGGAAGCCUGAUGCAGCAACGCCGCGUGCGGGAUGACGGCCUUCGGGUUGUAAACCGCUUUCGCAUGUGACGAAGCGUGAGUGACGGUAAUGGGUAAAGAAGCACCGGCUAACUACGUG
rnacentral:rRNA from 1 species